UUUAUAGUGCAGAGGCUGACGCUCCCCACAUCAUGACUGACAUCAACAGGAUACCAGAGGUACAAAUACUUGCCCACACUGGCGAAUAUUACCCAGCCUUUCCUCAAAAGCACCUAAGACUGGUUGUUGAUUGCAUUGUUUCAUACCUGUUCUGAAAGCCAAGAAACUGCUAAGACAAGUCCAUACUGCAUUUGCCACUGAAAAAAAAAAUCACAGUGAAGAAAGAACCCAGAGGAAGAUUUGCUUGCUAAACUUAUCUCAUCAUAACCCUUGAGCUGCACUUGACUUGUUAGAGUAACGAGGCAGAACUUACUAGACCUACUUCACAUCUUAUAUUGACUAGCUUCAAUUGUUGUUAUCUUUUAAAGCCUUCAUGGUGAAUGCCGUUUUUUAAAAAUAUUAUUAUUUGUAGGAUAUUGCAACAGAUCUGUGAACUGAAAUAAUAAACUGUGAAUCACUUAUAUUUUCCUAGAAUAUGGACUGAUCUUCAGGGAUUAAUCUUAAAAAGAGCUUUACGCAUUUCUCAUGGGUUCCUCUAUAGCC
rnacentral:lncRNA from 1 species